rnacentral:rRNA from 1 species
CAGUAGGGAAUAUUGGUAAUGUGCGAAAGCGCGAACCAGCAACGCCGCGUGCGCGAUGAAGGCCUUCGGGUUGUAAAGCGCUUUUUAUGGGGAUGAGGAAGGACAGUACUCAUAGAAUAAGCCUCGGCUAACUACGUGCCAGCAGCCGCGGUAAAACGUAGGAGGCGAGCGUUAUCCGGAUUUACUGGGCGUAAAGCGUGUGUAGGCGGUUUGAUAAGUUGGAUGUGAAAGCUCCUGGCUUAACUGGGAGAGGUCGUUCAAAACUAUCAGACUUGAGAGUGGUAGAGGGAGGUGGAAUUCCGGGUGUAGUGGUGAAAUGCGUAGAUAUCCGGAGGAACACCAGUGGCGAAAGCGGCCUCCUGGCCCAUUUCUGACGCUCAGACACGAAAGCUAAGGUAGCAAACGG